AGCGAACGCUGGCGGCAGGCCUAACACAUGCAAGUCGAACGAACACUUCGGAGUUAGUGGCGGACGGGUGAGUAACACGUGGGAAAGUGCCUUUUGGUUCGGAAUAACUCAGGGAAAUUUGUGCUAAUACCGAGUGUGCCUUUCGGGGGAAAGAUUUAUCGCCAUUAGAGCGGCCCGCGUCUGAUUAGCUAGUUGGUGAGGUAACGGCUCACCAAGGCGACGAUCAGUAGCUGGUCUGAGAGGAUGACCAGCUACACUGGGACUAAGGCACGGCCCAGACUCGUACGCGGGGCAGCAGUGGGGAAUCUUACGCAAGGAGCCAUAGCGUGACGCAGCCAUGCCGCGUGAAUGAUGAAGGUCGUAGUAUUGUAAAAUUCUUUCACCGGGGGCGAUAAUGACGGUACCCGGAGAAGAAGCCCCGGCUAACUACGUG
rnacentral:rRNA from 1 species